rnacentral:rRNA from 1 species
ACUUUCAACAACGGAUCUCUUGGUUCUGGCAUCGAUGAAGAACGCAGCGAAAUGCGAUAAGUAAUGUGAAUUGCAGAAUUCAGUGAAUCAUCGAAUCUUUGAACGCACAUUGCGCCCGGCAGUAAUCUGCCGGGCAUGCCUGUCCGAGCGU